UUUUUCUUUUUUUUUUUUUUUUUUUUUUUUUGUCCUAAUACUAAACAAUCCUAGUACACUGACUUUUCUUCCCUUCUAUAAUCAGUACAGCAAUGGCCUAUGGCUCAAAUGCAAACAAAUGUUGAAUUAGGCAAUGGUACUUUGGCACUGCUGGUCCUCACAUGACUUAAUAACAUCAGCGAUUGCCAGCUACAGGAAGCCCAGGGAUAUCAAGAGUUUCUGCACUAGUCACAUUUUCCCAGAUGAGUUCUAUAGGGAGGAGGAGCAGUGGUGAAAGUCUUUAGACCUUCACCUGACCUCUAUCCCUGAUGUGUCACUGAUCUGCUCUGGAAGGUCACCAUCCCUUGAUGGCUCUCUAACGGACUUUAUAAACUCAUGGAAUGGAAAUGGCCUCCCCAGUCCCCACUUCCUGUGCCCCAGCCUUCAUCAGGGAGCUAUUUGAUGUACUGUAAUGAUCUUUAAGAAGCUGCAUGUUUAUUUUGCAGGCAAUCUCGGCUGCUUCCAUUAGUGGACUAAGCCCUCUCCCUGGCUUGUACAAACAGCUCUCCUGGAGGCAGUCACGCUUUAUGAACUGUUCACAGGGUAAGCACAUCACCAGCUGUCAGCAGCUCAACACUCUUUUACCCUGAAGAGCUGGAAAAGAGAGGAAAGACAAAUAGCUCUGAAGGAAUGCUUCCAUAGAUUUAGCCAACAGAAUGGCUACACAGAAUCAUCUAAUGCCUCUAUUUUGUGAACUCCAUUAGUCAGUAUAUCCAGCCUCCCCACAAGGUCCAUGGGGAGGGUAGAUGCAGUCUCACUCCUAUUCCAUGACUGACAAGAAACUAGACUGAGAUCGGAAACUUGGGUCGUGACUCAGCCUUGAGUUUCCUUCAGCAACAAUUGACGGCCGUGCCUCCUUGUCUAGGAAUGUGCUAGAAGAGCCCAUGUGUAGUGAGCUUGUCAAGUGCGACCAUCAGGGUCAAACGUAACCAUAACAGCAGCUGGAUGCAAAGAAUGGGACAAUUAUUAGUAGUUAAAUCUGCUUGGCACUUUUCAUUUUUCAAGUUUCCUUUCUUUCCUAAAGCUCAGUUGAGCCUUUCACUUUCUUUCUAAGCAAUUAGGAGCAAAUAACAUUGAACUCCAUUUUAGCCUAAGAGAGUAGGCUACAGAAGUUGAGACAGUCACUCAAAACAGCUUAACAUUUAGGGACAGAUCUGGGAACUUAGAUCUGGUCUCCUAAUUGCUAAGGCUGGGCUCUUUUCACACACUGUUCUGGAGAGACCCCUUUAUUGUCACCUAAAUAGUCAUUAUUUUCAGGCCUAUUUAUUGAGCAAUGAGAAAAGGGCAAGAGCUACUUGGGCUGCACCAGAGAUUCACCUCUUUUUGGCAAGUCUUUGCUUUUCACCUGCUGAGCAAAUAAAUAUCACCAAGGAAACAAGAUCUCUUUCCUGUCACUCUGAACUUAAGUGUAGCCACUUCAAAUGAUGGCAGGAGCUACUUUUGGAAAAGGAAAGGUGGAGGGAGGAGGAGGGCUAUGUAGAUACCUAGGAAAACAAAGAAGGAAGAGAAUUUGAAGGGGCCUUCAGGGGGUCUUUUGGGACUGAGUUCACUGUAGAUGUCCUUAUGACCAGCUCGGCUGGUGAUCUCAGAGUGAUAGAAAGGUAUGAUGGGAUAAGUUUUAAUUGCUUUUUAAACAUGUUUAUUUCUCCCAAAGUCCUGAAGCAAUCCCCCAGCUGCCCCAAGUCAUUACUUCCAGAUACUUCUAGUGGAAGUAGGAGGAAAGGGAAUGAAGUGAUCAUUAAAAAUAAUUAUCAUGAUGAUGAUGAGAGUGGAAAGAGCAUGUACUGAAUGCUUGCUAUAUGCACAGCAAUUUGCUGAACACUUCACAUAUGUAUUUUAUUAAAUUCUCAUAAGCACCAUGUGCGGCUCUCCCCAUUUUGUCGGUAAUAAAACUGCAGCUAAGAAUUUCAGAAAUGUACCCACAGUCCUGAAACAAGAGGAGGGAUGGAUGUGCUGGGGUUCAAAUCUAGGCUUUUUCCAGAUUAUGGGGUUCAAGGCUUUUAACAUUCACUCAUACAUACAGGGUGUGACUUAAGCCCUUAAAUAAUUAAGUAGUAAUUACUGGAUGAAAUUGAUAAGAAAAAGACAAUUAAAAAAUAUAAAUUAGGAGCCCCCUGGUGGCUCAUCAGAUUAAGGAUCUGGUGUUGUCACUGCUGUGGCUUGGGCUGCUGCUAUGGUGUGGGUUUUAUCCCUGGACUGGGAACUUCUGCAUGCUGCGAGUGUGGCCAGAAAGAAAGAAAGAAAGAUGUGCCUUGAUAUGAGAAAGCCUGACUGAAUGAGUUACAUUGCUUUAGCUAAGACACUUGACAUUAUUUUCAUUUGUCUUCUAGUUCCACUUCUGUGGGAAGAGGAGGUAUGGGGACAGAAGGUGGUGGAGAGGGCAGCCUGGGCAGGAUGAUUAACUAUGUUUUUGGUAACUGACUUGAGGUCAAGUAGCCAGGAACAACUGGAAUUGAUGGAAAACUGCUACGAUGUUGGCCUCAACCUAUGAACUAGGACCUGUGGACCAUGGACAAGUUUAGCAGUAGGGAAAAUAUAUUGGGUUAAACUAAAAUAUCACAAGGAUGAUAGGACCAUACCUGAAUGGUAUGUCUGAAACCGCUUAGGUCAGUGUUCUCUCUGGGAUUUAUUUUACUCUCCAGGGGAUAUUUGCCAAUGUGUGGAGUUAUUUUUGACUGUCACAAACUGAGGAAGGGGAGGGUCAUGCUAGUGACCUGGAGUGGGUAGAGGCCACAAAUACUUCUGAUCAUCCUGCAAUGCCCAGGACAGCUCCCACAGCAAAGGAUCAGCCAGCUCCAGGUGUCAAUAAUGCCAAGGUUGAGAUAUCUGUGCUGGUUCAACCCUCUAGAAGCUUCAUGUUUAAGAUCCAUGUUUAACUUAAAAGUUACACUUUAUCAUCAAAGGGUCAAAAAAACAAAGCUCCAGAGAGGUUUAAUCUAUCGCUAAUGGUGCCAUGGCCCUGGCCAUGCAAAGUAAAUACCUUCUGUUUGGUCCCAGGCAAAUCAGAGAGCAGGCAGCUUGUUGCCAGCUAGAAUCAUGGCUUCUGACUGGGUUCCUGGAGUCUAAGGUUCCCUGAAGGGGCCUCACAGGGUGCUGCUGGAGCCCCACCUUCCUGGGAUCAGCACAGGUCCUCUUUUAUUUACAUAAAUCCAGUGGAUUGGGGGCUGCUUGUCUCUAAUCACUCUGGACCAAAUUUGGAGAGUAAUGUUUGGGAUAUUUUGACUUCUAAUUAACUCUUUGAGGAAGACAUGACUAUCUCUUUGAAAGACCCUUUGAAGCACCUCAGAGACAGAUUAGCUAAGCCUGGGGCACAGAGACAGGCCUAAUAACUGUCAACUAGGAGAGACAUUUCCCACAGAUGAAGUCCCUGUGGAUAGCCAGAUCAAACUCUGGCUUCAACAUGACUUGGAAUCCUAAGUGGCUAAGGCCUGGCUCUGUAUUACUGAAACUCUCAUUUGCAAUAAGCUGCUUCUUACCUGGGCAUGUCUGGAGUGAACAAGAGUGAAGGGCAGAGCAGUAGGAUGGAAAAGGCUGUGGGCCUUGGAGGCAGCCUGCCUGACUUCUGGGCUGGCCUCUGUGACCUUGAGCAGAUUACUUAAUAUCUUUGGGUCUCGGUUUCCUCAUCCAGUUGCUGUGAGGCUUCGCUGCAUUAUCACGGGUCAGGUCUUAGGACAAACAGUGCCUGGCACACAGCAAGUUCUCUGCAAGGAUUAGCUGCUGCUAUUAUUACCUUCAUCAUCAUUAUUAUGCUAUAGCAGCAACAUAAUGGACACCAGCUGAUUCUAUUUUAUUCACUGGCAUUCUAUGGAAGGUUUCAUUUUUUUUAAAAAAGGUUUUCAGCUAAAAAUAAAUCUGAAAAACCACUGGGCAGCUUCAUUUUCACAUCAAGAGCUUUUAAGACUAAAUGACACCCAAUAUUAACACCAGAUUCCUCUUCUUUGGAAGCAUGAAUCAAAAUUAUCAUAUGACUGAGGAAAAUAAAAGCUCAGUGAUGCCAUCUUAGGCUAAGUGAUGCAGCGCUGAGGAGGGGCCUUCCUGCCUCUUCUUUGCCCUUCACAUUUAAAUAAAUCUAUGCAGUUCUCCACUCAUUCAGUUCCCAUCAUGAGAAUUUGUUAAAGAUAUCAGCCAGUGCAAAUAGGUCAGCAUCCUGUAUUCCACCCAGCUUGGUAGCUUGGUUGGUGGAAGGUCUUAGAAAAGUAUCAGAAACCCAUAAAGAAGAUUGUUUACAAUCCAGCGAUUAUCUUCAGUGACACUGGAAUGCCUGGGUUCAAAUCCUGGGCUUUGUCACUUUCAAGCUCUAUGACCUUGCCAACUGAAACUGGAAGAUUUCUGUCGGUCUCCACUCUAUGACUCUCUCUCCUAGCAACUCAGUUGUCUCUCCUUCAUGUCUCUGCAUUGGGAAUCCAUGCAUUUAAUCACUAAAAUUGCCACUAAGUCUCACUUAGAGAGGAGCCCUGAAAGGAGUUAGGAUGAGAAGAAUUACUCUGCAUUAGGUUGGGGCAGGCACCUUCUAUUGGCUUUAAAUUGAGCCACUUAUAUAAUCCUCCCAAGAACUACAUGAGGUCACUCAAGUUUCCCAACUUCUAAGUCUUAUUUUUCACACUACUCUGUAAGAGCUUCCAGUGAACGUCUGGCAACCCAUACCUUGGAAUAUUCAUCAUUAUUCACUACCAUGAUCAUGACCAUGACCAUGUCAUGCCCCAUCAGGAAAAUGUGGUCCAGAGAUGCGGGAUGAAAUAUCCAAGGUCACAAGAUAAGUGGCAAGCCUGGGACUUGACCCUAAGGCUCUUCACCACUGGUAGAAGAUUGGCUGCUUAUGACCAUUCCUACUUUGCAGAUGGGCUUGGUUUGGCCUGCAUGACACUUAAAAAAAUUAUUCAGCAAAGCUUGGAAAAUUGUGAGAUUUCACACAUAAAUCAGCAUUCUUGGCUCCCAUUAUGUCUGGCCUCCCUGGGCCUCAGUCCUAUAGGCAACAUCAGCUGCAUUAGCCCUUAUCAGGGGCAAGAAUUGUAGUUCAUUAUCAUCCCAAGGGCUCUGGGCUAAGGGACAACCACUGCUUUCAUAUUCUGCCAUCUAUUAUGUUACUUACGUAAUUUUAUUAUGUUACUUAACUAUAAUAUUACAUAGGAAUUUGUACCCCUGAAAUGCCGACUAGUGCCUUGCCAGCUUUCCCCAGUGUCUUCUAUAGAACUGGACUAAAUUAAUCUGACAGCAGCCCUCUGAACAGCUUCUAGUGGGUUGACUAUGUCCCCCUCCUCAAAAGAUCUGUUGAAACCCUAACUCCCAGGACCUAUGCAUGUGAUCUUAUUUGGAAAUAGGGUCUUCACGUAUGUCAUCAAGUUAAAAUGAGGUCAUAGUUCCUAAGUAGACUUUUUUCCAAUGAAGACAUACAAAUGGUCAAAAGACACAGGAAAAGAUGCUCACCAUUACUAAUAAUAAGAGAAAUGAAAAUCAAAACUACAUGAGGUACCACCUCACACUUGUCAGAAUGGCCAGCAUUAAAAAGCUUACAAACAACAAAUGCUGGAGAGUAUGGAGAAAUGGGAACCCUCCAAUAUUGGUGGGAAUGUAACUUGGUAGAACCAUUAAGGAAAACAGUGGUUUCCUUAAAAACUAAGGAGGAGGUUCCUUAAAAAAUUAAAAAUAGAGUUUU
rnacentral:lncRNA from 1 species